rnacentral:lncRNA from 1 species
CUGAUUCACGAACAGCAUUGAACAGCCCCCCCUCCAUGAUUCCGUUUUGGAUACGCAGACCAGGAUGGGUGAGAAUCGACAUACUUGAAGAAGGACUAGAAGAUCCAUGAGUUCGCUAUCGCUGUCGUCGCUCGUCCAACUGGAGACAAGGACGCCGUUAUCUGGUUGCAGCGCCAUGCUGAUUGGAGAAUUGUCAGCCAGAACCACUCGUGAAAUGUCGCGCCCCAGAAGACGAAGGUCUUUGACAUAGCCGCCAUUAAUCAUGGUGCAGUGUUGACGGUAAAGACGAUGAUGGACGAGGCGACGAUCUGGGUCGAGGUGGGCAAGGACCUAAAAUUCAGUGGAAAGAUGCGAGACAAAGUGUCUCAGAAAUAGCGAACCAGGAAUCAGCAAGCUUCGAUGUAAUCAUGCCGUCGCUGACUACUAUUGUUGAGGUGUCACCGUGUUUCCUUCAGCAAAGGUUGCCUGCAGGGCUCUAGUCUUGAUUCAAAACGCUUGUGGCUUGAGGCAGUUUCGUACCUGAUCAGCGUAGGAUUGCGUGCUGGCAGUGAAGACGACGAUUUCGCAUAUUUGUGACGCUAAGUCGAGGAAAAUCUUCGUGUAAGGUCGAACGUAAACGUGGCCCUGCGGUGGCAUGCCACACAAAAGUCCCAGAAUAAGCAUUUUGUAUCUUCUGGAGUUAACACCGAGUAUCUGCUAAUUCAGAGGCUUCGAUUGGUUUUCAGUGUGUCGGACAUUAUUUUUCGCGAUGCUUAUAGGGCCUGUGGCUUCUUUCCCCAAACACAGAUCAGGGACUGAGGUAAGAAUGUAACGGACAAGAUGCCUGCGUACCAGGACAUUCGUGUCGGAAAACCGGACAAGAAAAGCCGGGCUUUUCUCGAGAGGCUUCGUCGCACAGUGCAUCAGAGUCUCAUCCAUAUCUGCACAACGCAGUCACAGACAGCGCAGGAAAGUGGCUUCUCCGUGCCACACAACAUCUUUACUUGCGCUGAAACUCCUCGAAGACUAUCAAUGAGUGCCCGGCGCCCCGUUAGUUUGAAAUCGGGGGAAAAGUCUUUUUUUUGCCUAGUCAAGAAUACGAUGGCGCCUCUCAUUGGAAAGGUGUUGUUUCAUGCCAGGGGUUCAAGGGAAAUAUGACCCGCUGCCAGCACUAGUUCUUUGUCCAAGGUGACGCGCCUAACAGCCUUCGAAAGCAGAGAGGCGGGUCUACCGCGUUGUCACAUGUGGAGUUUUGGACUCCGGUGUCAUAAUAUUUCAGAGACCGGGGGUGCCUCUUUGUUCCUCGCGCUGAAUCUACUGAAAUAAACAUGUUCGAGGAAAAAUCCAGAAAAAAUGUCGCUGGGCAACACAUUCCAAUAAUCGUAGUCAACUUACUAGCGGGUGAAUUAUCUAUGGCGGGACAUGGUUGUUGUGGCUGGAGUGUACGUCUGGUUCCAACGUGUGCCGCUUCCUUCGGUUACUGUUGUCUUAGUAAGUAAUGAAGAAUGAAUUCGUGUAACUCUCUGUGGCCCCGUGUAACAGUGAAGUGUUCUUCCUGUUGUUUUUUGCGGAACAAAUGUGUCUCUCACCCAAGACAAGAGUCAUUCGACCGGCAAACUGAGGCGCUACAGGAGGAAGAAAGUAUCCGUGUUGUAGUUUAGGAGGUUUCUUGGGGAAGUGAGUCAACGCCAGGUAAGCGAUAGCACUUUGCAGAGCAGGUAGAAGUUGUGAACUGUCCUUCGGUACUUGACAUAGGUUUGGCAUGCAGACAUGGAAAUCGUCCCCCAAAGCAGCGGGUCCGCCGUUUGCCGCAUCAAAGCUUAUUUGCGUGAUCUCUUGGCUUCCCGUAGACCUGUUCAGAAACGCUUUUUUGUGAGCCAGCGUUUUCAGAUGCAGUUUUUGUUGGAGAGGAAAGAGCGACGGAAAGUGCUGCUGAUAGGACACUCUCUGCGGUCGCAUAACAAGGUUUCUGCUAAAGGACCGAGGAGAUAUGAGACUUCUACGACUUCCUGGAGGCUUUGCUAGACCUCUCAGCAGUGCUGCAUUAUAAGCCAAGUCUGUCAGCAAUCCUCCGGCAAUUGUAACGCCGCCAGCUUGUUUGUUAACAUAGUCGUCUGUCGAGACAGUACCGUCUGGACGAAGUUGAAAGUCCUUUUUCUGAGGUGACGAGAGACCUGAAAAACGAUACGCGACCCUCUGAGUCGGCAUCCCAAAAGAGUUCAGCGCAUUAGACCCUUCGGCUGCGCAUGCGGUCACCUCCUCAAAUGUGCGUUCUUUGUUCAUAAAGUUCAAGGAUGUUCCCCUUCCAGAAGCAGCUGAUGGAGAAGAAGACGACUCAUAAGCGACAGCAGCGGGAGCUACUGUGAAGGAAGCGCUGUGGAUUGACUUGCAUAGAGGCCAUCCAAACAGUCCAGUAGGAAACAUUGUCGCGGCAGUACACGCUCCUGAGAAGAGUGUUCCUGUUCAUCGGGGAAAAUGAAAGUACAGAAGACAGUGGUGGCAUUCUUGUCCUACCAGUUUCAACUCUUUCAGAGGACUUUCGCCCACUGCGAGAGGAAACCAGAUACUGCCGACGCUGUUCCACCCAGAACAGGUGCCACCCCUUUUGUAUAACAUGUAUAAUCUAAACAGAUACAGUAGAUUGGCAGGCACAUUCAGUAGUUUCUGGGUCUAGCGCUAUGUGUAGCUUGCAUUAUGUGGUGCGUGGCAGGCAAACCGCAACAUCGCUGACAAACAGUAAAAUCCUAUAUCAUUGGUGACGGCACCGUGAGCACAGGAGAAAAGAAGAUGUCACUUGAGGAAAGAGUACGGUCCGGGAAUUCGAUGACUUCUCUUUCAGCCCUGUCGUCCAUCAUACCUGUACGCGAUUCCCACGACCGCGGUCGUUUCUGAGCCCGUUCAGAAACAUGUCGCGAAGGUUUGGCGCAAUAUACGCCAUGGAGGUCUGCUUCUGCUGUCUGAGUUUUCAUCUUUUCUGAGCGAUGAUUGUAGAUGUAGGGGCAAUAGGUGCCCCUGAGGAAGAUUUGGCGAUGGCUUCGUCUGGCAGGGAAACUAUCCGGCAGACAGCUGGAUUUGGCGGCGUCCAAGAAAGCUCCUUUCAGAGUGAAGCGUGUUCACGAGCACAGUUGUGGAAGGCGACUUCAUUGAAAGCGCGCAAUCUGGAUUUUGCUGUUGUGUAAAUUAGCCACCCAACGGCUAUUCUGUGCUUUUCUCUGGUCUUCCUUCCUUUCGUGCUCUAUCGAAGCGGUGGUUACUGGGCUAUUGUCGUCUGCCUUUUUCGGCCGAGAGAGUGUGGCACGUCGAUUCGUACGUUCGGGUGCGCUUGCGAUACAGAAAGAAGUACGGAAUUUACUUCUGUUGACGUUCCGAGAGGGGUCGUACGACCACAAGAGUCGAUGGAAAGAACUUCGGUUAAUGAUGAGAACGAACGGC